AUGGGGAUUCAACAUUUUUUUUUUUUUUUUGCAUUAUACUUAGUGGUGGGAAAUCCUUCUCUCAAGUAUUUCCUUGUUUAUUUUCAUUAAUUCUUCAAAAGAAUAGUAAAAUUAGUAAAAUGAGGUGAUGGAAAGAUAAUUAGUGGAAUUGGAGUUAUCAAUAGAGGAUGGGGCCUUUUGGAUGGGAGAAACCAAGAUUUGGGUGAGUUAAAAGGUUGGUAAGAUUCUCGUCAAGCCACAAAAGAGGAGGAUAAGUGCAAUUGGUUGUGUGAUAUACUUCACAUGGUUUCACGGUUAUAUCCCAAUAUGUUGCAUUGAGUGAUAAUUUUUUUCUUCUCAUUUGAGGGAGACGACUUGAAGGGGUUUAAGGGGGACAUGGACUAGCUCAGCUCUAUCAAAGGUUCAAAUGAUCUCGUGGCAACUUAUCCUUGAUAGACUUCCAACCUGUGGGAAUUUACCGUCAAUGGGUGGGGGGUGUUAGUAGAAGAUGGUCCAAAUUGUGUGUGGUGUCUAGAGACUGUUGAGGUGAAGGAUCAUUUGUUUAUAGGUGUCUUUUUGUUGGAAGAGUAGGGUAAUUGAUCUUUACGUGGAUCGAAGUUGGCAUCUCUCUACCCGAAAAUGUUAUUUCUCUUUUUGAGUAUUUCUCAACCUUGUCAUGGAGCAAAAAACACCCGACGGAGCUAACUUUCAUUUGGUAUGUCACAAUACGGAAGAUUUGGGAGGUUAGGAAUAAGAUCAUUUUCUUUUUAAGGAGAGUGGAGAUGGAGGAUAUUGUAGAAGGAAUAAAAUUAACCUCUUAGAGAUGGCUUCUAGCUAUAAAAAGGGGCAAAUUAUUUGUAUUAUGCGUGACAUUCACAUCCACUCUUAUGUAUUGACUCUU
rnacentral:lncRNA from 1 species